rnacentral:rRNA from 1 species
AGCGAACGCUGGCGGCAGGCCUAACACAUGCAAGUCGAACGAACUCUUCGGAGUUAGUCGCGGACGGGUGAGUAACACGUGGGAACGUGCCUUUAGGCUCGGAAUAACUCAGGGAAACUUGUGCUAAUACCGAAUGGGCUCUUCGGGGGAAAGAUUUAUCGCCUUUCGAGCGGCCAGGGUCUGAUUAGCUAGUUGGUGAGGUAAUGGCUCACCAAGGCGACGAUCAGUAGCUGGCCUGAGAGGAUGAUCAGCCACAUUGGGACUCCGACACGGCCCAAACUCCUACGGGAGGCAGCAGUGGGGAAUCUUGCGCAAUGGGCGAAAGCCUGACGCAGCCAUGCCGCGUGAAUGAUGAAGGUCUUAGGAUUGUAAAAUUCUUUCACCGGGGACGAUAAUGACGGUACCCGGAGAAGAAGCCCCGGCUAACUUCGUGCCAGCAGCCGCGGUAA